GUAGCUCCUCCUCUCUACCCAAGGGUUAGGUAGCUCCUCCUCUCUACCCAAGGGUUAGGGUUAGGUAGCUCCUCCUCUCUACCCUAGGGUUAGGUAGCUCCUCCUCUCUACCCAAGGGUUAGUUAGCUCCUCCUCUCUACCCAAGGGUUAGGGUUAAGUAUCUCCUCCUCUCUACCCAAGGGUUAGGUAGCUCCUUCUCUCUACCCUAGGGUUAGGUAGCUCUUCCUCUCUACCCUAGGGUUAGGUAGCUGUAGUUCCUCCUCUCUACCCUGGGGUUAGGUAGCUCCUCCUCUCUACCCAAAGGUUAGGGUUAGGUAGCUCCUCCUCUCUACCCUAGGGUUAGGUAGCUGUAGUUCCUCCUCUCUACCCAAGGGUUAGGUAGCUGUAGUUCCUCCUCUCUACCCAAGGGUUAGGGUUAGGUAGCUGUAGUUCCUCCUCUCUACCCUAGGGUUAGGUAGCUCCUCCUCUCUACCCAAGGGUUAGGGUUAGGUAGCUCCUCCUCUCUACCCAAGGGUUAGGGUUAGGUAGCUCCUCCUCUCUACCCUAGGGUUAGUUAGCUGUCUAGCUCCUCCUCUCUACCCUAGGGUUAGGUAGCUGUAGUUCCUCCUCUCUACCCAAGGGUUAGGUAGCUGUAGUUCCUCCUCUCUACCCAAGGGUUAGGGUUAGGUAGCUGUAGUUCCUCCUCUCUACCCUAGGGUUAGGUAGCUCCUCCUCUCUACCCAAGGGUUAGGGUUAGGUAGCUCCUCCUCUCUACCCAAGGGUUAGGGUUAGGUAGCUCCUCCUCUCUACUCAAGGGUUAGGGUUUGGUAGCUGUAGUUCCUCCUCUCUACCCUAGGGUUGGGGUUAGGUAGCUCCUCCUCUCUACCCAAGGGUUAGGGUUAGGUAGCUCCUCCUCUCUACCCAAGGGUUAGGGUUAGGUAGCUCCUCCUCUCUACUCAAGGGUUAGGGUUUGGUAGCUGUAGCUCCUCCUCUCUACCCUGGGGUUAGUUAGCUGUCUAGCUCCUCCUCUCUACCCUAGGGUUAGUUAGCUGUGUAGCUCCUCCUCUCUACCCUAGGGUUAGUUAGCUGUCUAGCUCCUC
ensembl:lncRNA